CGGCCGUAUCACCUUGAAACACCGGUUCUCGCACGAUCACCGAAGUUAAGCAACGUCGAGCCUAGUCAGUACCUAGAUGGGUGACCUCCUGCAAGC